AUUCAAGGGAUGGGAAUCGAACCCACGACCUUCCGCUUACCGGGCAGAUGCCAUGACCACUAGGCUACCCUGGU